rnacentral:rRNA from 1 species
AACGAACGCUGGCGGCAGGCUUAACACAUGCAAGUCGAACGCCCCGCAAGGGGAGUGGCAGACGGGUGAGUAACGCGUGGGAAUCUACCUAGUUCUACGGAACAACACAGGGUAACUUGUGCUAAUACCGUAUACGCCCUACGGGGGAAAGAUUUAUCGGAAUUAGAUGAGCCCGCGUAAGAUUAGCUAGUUGGUGGGGUAAUGGCCUACCAAGGCGACGAUCUUUAGCUGGUCUGAGAGGAUGAUCAGCCACACUGGGACUGAGACACGGCCCAGACUCCUACGGGAGGCAGCAGUGGGGAAUAUUGGACAAUGGGCGAAAGCCUGAUCCAGCCAUGCCGCGUGAGUGAUGAAGGCCUUAGGGUUGUAAAGCUCUUUCAGUAGGGAAGAUAAUGACGGUACCUACAGAAGAAGCCCCGGCUAACUUCGUGCCAGCAGCCGCGGUAAGAC